GCAGUCGGGAUUUGAGCUCCGAAGUUGGCAGAAGUGCCCCUGGCAGCAGCAUCCCAGCUGCAGCUCAGGCUUCUCACAAGCUGAGUUAUUGACGAACCUAAUGAAAACUGGUAGAGCUGCUCGCCUUGCUGGGGGAAUUGUUUGGCCUUCAGUGCUGCCAGCGAGGACAAUACUGGCACGGGGAGCAGUGUGUAAAGCAGCCAGCAGGAAGGCUGGAAUCGGAUUUCCAGGAGAGACUGACUGCAAAAAGAGACAGGACGGAGAGGGGGCAUGGCAGCUGGCAGGGGAUGGCUGCUGGCUGCGCUGAGCGGUGGCACAGAAGCUCCCCUCAAACCCAGAAGAAAUAACCCAGAAAAGCUGUUAGAUUUCAGGGUAAAUUUACAGAAAGAUAUAAUCUUGUAAUUAAGGGAUGAUCUUGAGCUGCAAUAACCAUGAAUUCACACAGUGUUACUGCCUACAUGGUAUUUUUCCACACAGUAAUUACUUUUCUGUAAUAAUUCUGUUUUCUGCCAGGGGUAAGGAAACCACUGCUGUCAUUGCUGCAUAGCAGAGAUGCAGUGAGGAAGAUUUUACGACUUGCCCACUCAGAAGCCCUAGGAGACUGUACUGAACUCUCUCCAGGGCACUCACUAUCACCAUCAGGGCAAGACAAACGAAUUUGUCACCAAAACCAAGACACUGGGGGUGUCCAGGCACCUUGCAAACCCCAGGCCCAAGCCCACUGCCUGGCUGCAGGGAAUCAUUGACCCAUUGUAAGAUGCCCUUUAGGAUCCAUUUUUCUAUUUCUCAUUCCUUUAAAUAUUAAAAAAAAUCUCUUCCAAAUAAAUUCCAAGGCCAAAAAAAAACCCACCACUACACCACCAAAACAAAAGCAAGAGACCAGCAUGUCAGAAGGCCUCCCAAGAAAAAACAAGCAAAAGAAAUUUAAGUAUCAGAAGUCAGCAACUACAACAGGAUGAGGGUCUGCUACAACCAUUUUUAAUGAUAUGCUUUGUCCUUUGCUCUUGAUGAGCAAUGUGAGUGGCAAAUUGUCCGUGGCCUCAGGGCACAACCCAGAAUCCCAGAGUUUUUAUUAAACUAAAGACAUUUGUUUUAUUGUUUCUGUCUUGGAGCAGAUGACUGAAAAGUUUGCAGGGUGAUAAACCAAGAGGGAUGACAGCACAGCAGCAAGUAGUCUCCAUCCUGCUCAGCCUUUGGAAAAUCCUGUUGUUUUUCUUUCCACUUGUAGACAUCUGUAUGUGUCAUCACUUAGAAAUUCCACUCUCAAAGUUCAAAAGUCAACCACUUCCCAUUUAAAAUUUAACUCAGUUAUAGACAAUAUUUGUGAAUAAAACAUAAGUUAAAACAUAUUAUUCAGCCAAUGUUUGGGAAAGUGAGAAUAAAUGCAUGCCUGUUUCUAAUGUUUUUGGUUCAUGAAAAGAGAGACUUCAGUCAGUUCUCUUGUUCUUAUAGAGAACAUCAUCACAAAAUGAAAUUUUCUGCUAGUGAAAGCUCAAAUAUGUAACAGAAUUCUCUUUCCAGUUGGAAAUUUGAAGAUGUCCCUCGGCUCUGGACUAAAUCCAUAUAAUCCAGAACUGAAACCUUAUAGAAAAACAUCACCAAAACAUAUCAGGUUGUAGAGAACUCAGCAGAUAUGUGACUAGCCAAGACAUGUUAGUAUUGGAAAGAAAAGAAGCUAUUCUGUUACUGAGAGAAGCAGUUCCCAAAUUAUUUACUCAUUUUGUCUUCAUUCCUUCCAGAAAGAGCUCUUGGGCAAAGAUUUCAGGGUAAGGUUCAAGAGCAGCAGCUAUUUGUGAAUGGAAGUAUGCGGAGAUAUUCCACCAGUUUUUGCAUCCUUCACUACUUGUUACUUUCAACUGAAGACACUAGAAAUUGUUAUUUUACUUAAAUUGUGCUGCAAUACAAAAGAUUUUUAUAUUUGAGCUACAACUAAUCUGAAGUAAACGCAGCCAAGAAAAAGAGCCCUGAAGCUCCAAAACAACUCUCUGCCCUAUAUUAUUGUGAUGCAUACGUUGCUCAAUGCCACAAAAUCUUAUUACUUCAGCUUGCACAGGGUGACUUGGUGAACUUCCAUCCAAAACAAUCUCAGAAGAGCAUGUCUGGAUUUAUUCCUCCUCUCCAUUUUCUAGGAGGAAUGUGGAUUGCUAUUGCACUAUUACCACAGGAAAAGACAAACAACAACAAACAACAAAACAAACAAAAAUUGAUUGCAGUCAUGUUCUCUUUCAAAAAAUGAAAGAAUGUGAAUGCAUUCUUUCAGUGUAUUUCCUAUAUAAUACCAACAGAGUAUUUAGGUAGGCAGUUAUUUGAAGGCUGUGGCCACCCUCAGCUUUUUGAGGUUGCUUGGUCUUUACUAUACAGAUCUCCCAAGAAUUGCCCUGCCACACAUGUACUGACAGACCUAGCACCUACAAAACCCAACUUUCAGAAUUGGAGAUUUGUGGUUAAACUAAAGAAUUACAAAGAUUCACAGUUAUAGAUGAAUAUGAAUAAACUUCUCAUAGGAUCCUAAAGGCAAACAGAAGUAUGGAAUGUACAUGGGUGGCCAAGCAACAUGCUCCAGCAAUAAGAAACUUUCCAAGAAAAAUUUGAUGUCUUUUUUCAUUUUUGUGACUACCUGUAGUUUUGUCCAGGCAGAGACACACGCUGGGAAAGCGAGGAUCAGGUACGCUUUGCAGUGCUUGCCACUUAGCUGCAAAUGUUACAAAUACAUGAAAACAAUGAUCCUCAUCCUGUACAGUUCUCUGAUGCUCCAGUUUGCAGGCUGGCUUAAAUUUUGUCAGAAAACACCAUUCAUAUCUCCACCAUCUCUGAGAAGACUGACACUAAAAUACAACCUAGAUGCACAUACUAAGUGACCCAUAGGGCCUCAGCCUUUUGUACAAAUUUAAUGUUUCACGUCUUAAAACUUCCCCAGCCACCACCCCCAAAGAUGCAGGGAAGUCUUGGUGAAGUAGCAGAGGACACCCUGCAAUUUCUGUGUAAGAAUUACAGUGCUCUUUCCAGUUACAUGUAGAGCUGGAUAUCAGAGAAGUUUGCUUUUUUUUUUUU